CUGGAUUAGAUACAAGUUCUAACUUUUGAACUUUGUUAGAACUUCACUGAAAAUCCAAAGAGCAAAGGUCCUUAUGAAGACUUUCUUUUGUUGAGCUUUAAAAGAUAGACAGAUACGAGGGCCACAUUA